rnacentral:lncRNA from 1 species
GGACAGUCCAGUAUAGUCUUUAUUUUGGACCACGUCCUCCUCUGGCACACCUCUGUCAGAGAGUCCAGGUCCUGUCCUACAACAUGGCCUUAUGUGAUAGACGUGUGUGCCGCGUCUCCUUGGAGACUCUGAGACCAGUUUAAUGUUUACAGACAAUGAGGAAGUGAACUCUGAUCGCAGGCGUUUGCAGUGUCGGUCCUCUGAGGGUCAGACGGAGGGACCUGAACGGACCGUGGUCUGCUGCCUGUGGAGAUGAAGGUGGAGGAGAAGCUGGAGGUGAAGGUGGAGCUGCUGAAGUUCUGCUUGGCAGUCUUUAACACCGUGUUUCUGUUUGUGGGUCUGAGUGCGGCCGGCUGUGCGAUCUGGAUCCUGUUCGACAGAGGAAACUUCCUGAACUCCCUCCCCUCCGAGGAGCUGCAGGUGGUGUCCGUGGGCCUGCUGGUGAUCGGUGGUGUUGGCGGUCAGCGUGGCAGCGACCUGUGAGAUCAGGUUCCUACUGCUGACGGUGAGUCAGCGUAACGUCUGAUGCUGCAUUCAGGUCACGUGGGAAAAUGCUGCGACCACAUCCAGGGCUCAGUCAGGUGUUUUUUACCUGUGUCCCUCGGCUGAUGUGUGGUGGGUUUCCCCCCCCAGGUGCUGCUGAUUGGCUGAGCAACACCUACAUCCAGAGUCUGAACCUGACGAGUCCAGACGUGCUUCCGUGUUCCUGCUUUCACUCGUUUCAGCGCAGCUGCUGAACCUCACUCUGAUUGGCCAAGGGAGCGGCACGAGCUCGCUCCUGAGGGGGCGCCGGCAGCUCUAAACCUGCUGUGUUUCAUAUCGCUGGUGUGAUGUGAUGUUUUACCCAUGAUGCUGCUGGGUUUGUGGUUUUCAGGGCUGCAGUCAGACGUUCAGUGAUUGGCUGCAGGAGAACUCCCUGACCAUCAUCGCCAUGGACGUCGCCCUGCAGUUACUGCAGGUAGUAACACUGCACUGCCUGCAGA